rnacentral:ncRNA from 1 species
GUAUCACUGCCACCGGGUAGUGAACGUUAUGCGUUCGUGUGCUUAUCGUUAGGUCUAUGAAGAUAAGUACCGAAUGCUUUUUUUAU